AAAGUCGCGCCGUGUAGACGUGCUAGUCUAACAAUAAGUUCAGUGUCUGGAAUGUUACACAACCAGAUUGUGUGCGCGCAUGUCAACGUUUGAGGAGCAGCAAAGUCGCAAAACGUAAUUGUAAAGAAAAAUGUGAAGAGGCUGUGAAGAAGAGUGUGAUAAAUGAUCAGGAUGAGCAAAUGGCCUUCGUAUAAAGCGGGUGGUGUGAGUCAAUGGCGCUGACGCUGUCUCUGUCUAUCAACGCUCACCAGAAAAAAGAAGCCUUUGGUUCCGGAAAAAAUUCACACUCGUUUUCCUGCUCCUCGAAACGUUAAUGGCAACGAUGAGGAGGAACGGAACAUUUGGCAAACAGCAAUAACAGCAGCCACAAACAGCAUCCAUCAAGAACAGAACAUCAUCAUGAUGAUAUCGAAACACAAUGAAAUGAUCGAUAAUCCUUCUUCACAUCAUCCAAUUGCGACAUGUCGAUCGUCGCCAUCAAAGAUUUUAUGUUUUUAAAUAAUAUCCACUGAGUGAGUCUUCACGUCUGUCCGUCUUCUGCAACACCACACACAAAUAGGCAGCGAGUUUGCAACGCCAGCCGACAUAUCCUACACAGUUCGCCGAAGCAGCAGUUUAGCAGCGGCAGCAGCAGCAGCAGCAAAAACCACCAAGUCUCAAUCAAAAAAAGAAAAAAAUGAACAAAUAAUAUGAAAUGCCAGAUGCAGUGCAGUGCUGACAAAUAUAAAUUUGGGGACAAGGCGGAAAUUGCGCGCGGCAGCAGCAGCAGCAGCUUCAGCUCAACAGCAAACGUGUGUGCGCUUUAAAAAUGCCUGUGCCAACUACUACUACUACUACCAACCACCACCACCACAAUCACUCUACCUACUCUACUCUACAUAAAAUGCGGUUAGCAGUUGUUUUGCUGACGGCACCCAACCAACCAACCUAUCCAUCCACACAGACAUCUCUUCUGCAUACACGCGGUAUUCGUAUAUCAGCUGCGAACGCAAAAACCAAUUACUUUUUCAAAACAGAUUUACAGCAACAGAAAAGGAGAAUGAAAUCAACAAACAACAUCAGCAGCAGCAGCAACAAUUUCGCAGUUGAAUGUGCCUGCGCGACGCUGUGGAAUUUUUCUAAGCUUAAUAAUUUGAUCAGCAACUUCGUCGACAUCAUCUACGUUUACGUCCUUUUGUCGUCUCCACUCCACUUCAUUUUUAUCGGCGGGUGGCACGUAAGCCGUAUUGGAAUUUUGCUCGUUAAUUAACGCUUGAAUUACAGUAUACUACCUACCAAAAAGGAAUGCGGAGAGGAUGCUUUCUUUUUAGAGCUCCAGAUUCUCGAUAUUGUUUUUUUGUUUGUUUUUUUUUUAUGUAUAAAACACAUCUAUGUAUGAUUUUAGCGAAACAGUUGCUGCACACAUUUCUAGAGAUUGCUAGAUGAAAUCUGUUUGGAAGGUCUUUAGGCAAUACCUUGGAAUUCAUCUACUGUCUGUCUACUCGCAGCAAGCAAGCACAUCCCCGUUUUGAAGGAACAAGCUUACAAGUUUGAUAUUCUCUUUAUUGCAUAAAUACGUGGGCUUCAAUCUUUUUGUAGCGAUGCAUCACAGUUGAACGGUGCCUGUGAGCGUCUGGCUCAUAAUCCAAAGGAAGCCCACGAAGCAUACAUUCUUAAUUUACAACGCCCUCGCCCAGUCGGGGUGAUGGGAACUUGGAUGGGAUGAUCGAUCAACGACACACACUGAGAACGAACUCCUCACGUAAAGUUAUACCCUGUAGCUUAGGACAAAGACAAUUUUUUGUUUAUAUUUUUUAGCGAUGCGACGCAGUUGAGCGGUGCCUGCGCGCAUCAGCAAGAAAGAGAUCAAGAAACAAGCGAGAUCGGAUCGAGAUAUCGAAUCCAGCAUUCUUUUCUCUCUUCAUAUUUUUGCAAUUUUAGAGAACUCGACCAAUAUCAGAACACACGCAAAAGGGAUACGAGUCAAGAUAGAAACUCUACUCAAACGAAAACGAAAGCGUAACUUAAUUUGUUAAUACUUAACUUUGGACAAUAUUGUUUGUUUUCUGUUUCAUAUUGUCUUUUAGCACUAGCACGUUGCUAUUGUGAGCCAAAGAAAGAUACUAGAGGCACAAGUAAAUGAUGCACACAAUUGUCGUCUAAUCUACUAUUGAAAAGAGCUGCAAUAAUGAAACUAUAUUCAGAAACAUUCACGGAGAUCGCGUCGCAUAAAGUAACUCUUUAUAUAUCACCUUCAAUCUGGAAAUUCUAUAUUCUUCUAGAUGCAUAAGAUAUGUCCGUACAUACAUAUGGGUUUAAGACAAAACAUUGAUGAGAUCUGGCUACUUGCCCAAAUAACUAACUCGAAUCGACAACGAGAGGUGGAUUUAUUAUCAUGGGCUAAUGGCAUAAUGUUCUCGAGGAUCCUAGGAAACUUACGUAAAUUAUAUGAGCUUUGCCAUAUUUUCUUUCUUCGUUUUUCCCCUAUUUUUAUAGCAAUAUGAUGCAGUUGAGCGGUGCCUGCGCAUAUUGGAAAUUCUUUGAUCGGAAAAUAUUGAUAGGCAGCGAGGAAGCGCCAUUUAAGAGAGAGGCAUCCCCCCAAUCGAUAAAAUAUUCAUGUAAAUUAUUCGAUAUGCCUGGAACAAAAAACAUAUUUCUUUUCGUAUCUUGUAGCUAUAUAAAAAUGACCGCAGUUGAAUGUGCCUGCCAAUAGCUUAACUAGACAACUAGAGAACGUCUCGGCGCAGACAUCCAAUCCUCCAAUACUUGGAACUCCCCUAGGAAGGAAGUUUUCUACUGAAUUUUACUCCCACUCUUUCCAUUCCCAACCAGUUUACAGUUAUUUUUCUCUAAGGAUAAUAUAUCUAUUACAGUUCACAAGACACUGCAAAUGACCCCCGAGUACAUGUAGCAAAAUUUCUUGAGGCAAUGGGAAUCAAAUGCCAACUUGAAAGCAAUAACAACAACAACACGACACUUGUUAACAUCGCUCGCAAUUGAUCUGAUCUGAUCGCAUCGAUUUUGUGAGAAACGGUCGAAUAUCUCGAUAAACGUUAAAGGUCAGCCAAACACUGAAUACGCCUUGACUUGCUUAAACCUGUUUUACAGCUAAACAUAAAUGCGAAAAGACGGUCACAUGACAUCGUGCGAGACAUUUCCUUAUCUCUCUCUGCUACAUAACUCUGUGCACUGCCUGCGAAUCACGUAUUCCGGUCCGAUCUGGGCACGGAAACGUUUUUCUCUCUUCUCCUCCCAUCAAGCAAGCAGCGGCAAUCAGCAACGAGCGUGUGUCACACUGCAAAAUCGUUAAAGGGAAUCAAGAACGAUACAUCAAGUCCAUCCAUAACCACUGAUCCACAGGUAGUGAAAUCUCCUACAGUAAUGCCACAGCACCACAACAACAACACCACCACCACCACCUGCCAGCCAGCGAUAGCUGCUCUGAAUUGCAAAUGCGCGAGUACAACGAGUGAUCAUCCGUUGCAAAGUACACUUAACGUUUUUACAUUCCAGAAAAACGUUAGCUGCUGUUGCAACAUGAAUAUGGCAUGCCAAGCUUUUUGCACCACAUGAAGAGGUCAGCCCUGCACCACUCGGCGGCGGUCAAAGCACUAACUCACGAUCGAUCACUGAUGAUGAGCAAACAGAGACGACCUCGGCUGUUGCUCUCUCUCUCUCUAUAUUUCUCUAUCUAUCAAUCAAUCAAAUCUGUGGCAUCACCAAGCCUAGCUCGGCCAGGCCAGGCCAGGCCGCCAGACCAAGCCAAGCCAAGCUGGUUCAGCUCAGUCCAGCACGUAAUGCAUUGCACCGCAUAGAAAUAUGCGCUCGGUCCGCGCUAAAGGGAAACAAACGCGUUUGGACCGAGACCCGCCACACCACACAAACACCAGCAUCCGCACUAAGAGGCGAGCUGAUGUGUUGUCGUUGUUAUCGGGCAGCUGCCUGCAAGUACGCUACGGGCAUCCAAGCGUCGUCGUCGCAAGCUACCACUACUAUUACUACUACUCUACUCUGCUCCGCUCCACUCCACUCUCUUCAACUCUCGGCGUUUUUCUGUGUGUGUGUGCAACCAGAGAAUGUAUGUUUACACAUAGAGCAUGCUCGUCGUUUAUCGCAAAAGGGAACCAAAUGCGAUUAGUGUUCAAGCAUCCCCGACGACGACCAAUCAGACAGCCAACCAGCCAGACAGCUAUCCAUCCAUCCAUCUAGCCAGACAGCAAGCCAGCUAUAUAUCCUGUGCAACAGUUACACAGAUGAUGACACAGCGGUGGUAUUUCUAUCAAUGCAAUUGAUUUAACACAUUUCUGUUUGCAAAUUAUCCACUCAAAUCCUCUCACUUCUUAGCCUUGGCACAGAUCGAGAACAGUGUGUAAUCAAAUCAAACCAAAUCAAAUCCAUCGCAAAGGGAAUCAAAUGCGAUUAGUGUUCGAUGCCGAUAUGAAGCAGAAGCUAGCAGUGCCGCUAGUCCAGCGCAACGCUACCUAUGCUUCACUUUUGCCAGUUGAGCGCUUAACUCCUGGUGCAACGUUCAUCAUUCCGCAAUAGGGAAUCAAUUGCGAGGUGGUACUGCAGCAACGCACACACACACAACACCACACACACAAACACACACUUGAGACAGGCAAACACACACGCACACACCAUGCUCUCCAAGCUCCGUGCUACGUGCUACGUGCUCUAUGCUCUCCAUGCAUGUGAUUAACUUCUGGCAUUACAAGAUCAGCAAGUAAGGCAAGCAAAGCGUCCUAAAUCCAAAUCGUAAAGGGAACCCAAUACGAUAUACAGCAAGAGGCAGCUGACGGCAAACAGACAGCAGGCAGGCAGGGCAAUCCAUGCCAACAGCGCGCGAGAGGUUCAAGACAUCCGAUUUCUAACAGCUGAUAGCUGAUCGAUUCCCUCGUUGUCAUCGUUAUCCAAUCCAUGUUGUUGUUGUUGGUGUUAUGUAACGCUUUUCAGGUAACUUUCGUCACUCACUUUCAGCCUAGCCUAGCCGACCUGGACGGACAGUUACGACACGUAUCUGUCGGUUUCUGCACGUCAAGUUGAUCUCAAAGGGAAUCCAUGAGAUACGCGCUACUUCUCCUAUAUGUAAACAUUUUAUUUUUUUUUUGUUUCUGUUUAUUUUUCUAUCUAAGUUUGUUAUGUACAGAGGCGGCAGUCCUUUCUGGCCUUUUGGGCCUUAGGCAAUCAAGAAUGUAUAUUAGUACCAUACACCUACUCUGUAACCCAUGUUCCAAAUCUACUAUGUCAAAAUUGUAUAAGCGCAAGGCGUGUUAUUUUGUAAGAUUCGAUUGUAUUUUUUUGAUUAUUGUAAAACCUGUGACAUGUACAAAUAUCUGUAUGGCUUAAGACACGUAGCAGGCCAGGCAUGGUGACGGACGAACUCCCCAUUGUGUGAUGUCCAACCCUUUGAAACGUGAGCGAGAACGGGCGAUUUGAAUGAGAAAUACUCCAUCUUUGAGCCGGGCCAUCCAUGACCUUUGGGUAUUGAUCUUCUUCUGGGGCUUUCGCUGCUGGUGGUCCUCUACAGGCAGCGGAAACACAAUGAUAUCCAUCGUUAAAAUGGCACAACUAUCUUCACCUGAGCAAACACUCUGGUCGCCUGGUUCAUGAAUCCACCAACUCCCAUGUUCGGCGAUUUUUCGACUUCUCUGAUGUCGGAGCGCUUCCUUGGUGGGGUCAUCUACUUCAGGCCAUAUAAUCAUCCGUAAUGGCUUGCGACGCUUCAUUAUCAAAAACAAAAUCUGCAUAUGAACUGGAAAGAGACUUCGAUCGCUUAGAGUAUCGUCACAAUUCAUCACAACCACUUGUUGAGAGCGUUCUUUUGUGGCAUUUGUAACCAGUCGGGAAGAAUAUAGGCAGAUCAACCGAUCUGCAGAACUACUACUACUCUACUACUACUACUACUACUGCAAGGCACAACGACUUUACUACUAACAUAUUCAAGAAAACAUCAUUUUCAUCAACACGCUCGCACGCACGCACGAACCAAUCGACCAGAACCACUUGUUUUGCUCUUCGUACGCUGGCUAGGAUCAAACACGCACACAUUAAUGGAUUAGUUUGUCGUUCUCGUUGUGGGACAACGCUUCGCAUUUGCAACAAUAAUUUACAACACACAUUUCCUCCCUGCUUUUGAUGAUGAGAUGGGCCUGGUGGCAAAGCGAUAGGAUAGGAUCUCAAUCUGCUCGGGUUUUGUUUAUCUUCUACUACUACACCUCCUUCUCCACUACUACUACUACCUGGCCGAUGAUGGGGCCAUUGAUUUCGAACUUUCUACUGAGACGUCUUGACGUGUUUGGCGAUUAGAGUUUUCUUCAGGAUUCCAAAAAGAUUUUCUCGAGUUACUUUCGAAUAUUUGGGCAUCACUUGAAUCACAUUUUCUACUGAAUUGACGGCUGCGUGGGAUUACCUAGAAUUGACGGCUGCGUGGGAUACCGAGAGUUGACGGCAGCGAGGGACUACGCAUAGGCGGCAUCAUGGGAUACCAAAUUGGGACGGCGGCGCGGGAGAUUUGCAUGUUAUCAACGUGGGAUUCGCUUGUUUUCAUCGUGGGAUUUGUUAGGGCUUCGGUUAGGCGAGGGCGCUAGGGACAUUCCAAGGAUUUCAAGCAGGGCAAGGGGCAAAAGCGAUGACGGCGUCGUGGGAGUCACUUGACGGCGGCGGGGGAAUCAUCUAACUUCGGCGAGGGAUCGGACCUCCUGACAGCUGCGUGGGAAAACCAAAGCUUCGACGUGGAAGUAGCUGACGGCUGCGUGGGACAUCCUGACUGCCGCGGGGGUUUCUGACUGCAGCGUGGGAGAUCCUGACAGCGGCGUGGGAGUUCCUGACUGCGUCGUGGGAGUUCAUGACUGCGGCGUGGGAGUUCCUGCCGGCAGCGUGGGAUACUUUGACCGCGGCGAGGGAGCCUCAUCGGAAGAUUUUGUUUCUCUUAACGAUCAUCGUCUGUAUUCCUACAAGGUGCAUCAUUUAUACAAGUUCAUGCGUUCAAGGCUGAUAUACCUGCAUUAUUAUCUGUCCAACUGGCAUCUACAUUCUAUAUAUAUUAUAUGUAUAUGUAUAUACAUAUUCGCAUUCGUCGUCCUAGUAUUUAAUUAACAUGAGUAGACUGCACCCUUAACUUAACAAACCCAUUCGAACGGAAGCAAUCAUCACACUUCUACAUUUAUAAUAAUAUUUAUUCGUUCCUGGAAUACCGGAAAGCAAACUAAAAACGAUGAUCCAGAUAAUCCAGAUGCUCAUACAAACGGAUUAUCUGCUGAAUAAAAUUUGAUUGUUUGAAAAAAUGAA
rnacentral:sRNA from 1 species